rnacentral:rRNA from 1 species
CCUACGGGAGGCAGCAGUAGGGAAUCUUCGUCAAUGGGCGCAAGCCUGAACGAGCGAUGCCGCGUGUGGGAAGACGGUCCUCUGGAUUGUAAACCACUGUCCCCAGGGACGAAGAUGACGGUACCUGGGGAGGAAGCUCCGGCUAACUACGUGCCAGCAGCCGCGGUAAUACGUAGGGAGCAAGCGUUGUCCGGAAUUACUGGGUGUAAAGGGAGCGUAGGCGGGAUGGCAAGUUGGGUGUUAAAUCUACCGGCUCAACUGGUAGUCGCACUCAAAACUGCUAUUCUUGAGUGAAGUAGAGGCAGGCGGAAUUCCUAGUGUAGCGGUGAAAUGCGUAGAUAUUAGGAGGAACACCAGUGGCGAAGGCGGCCUGCUGGGCUUUGACUGACGCUGAGGCUCGAAAGUGUGGGGAGCAAACAGGAUUAGAUACCCCGGUAGUC